UCUAAAAUUCAAAAAUGGAAAAUGAUACUCAGAAUUCUUUGAUGGAGCCACCCACAAGAAAAAGGCCGAUCCAGGAGGAUAAGAAGUGAGACAAAUAGGAUUGAUCCAGAUAUGCAGACUACUGCAAGCAUCUCACAUAGUCUCCAUGUGUUGCAAGAAUUCUAAUGGGACUGUAGACCAGGACUCGUGUAUAUCUGCUGGGUGCUACUGAAUAAAGAUUUCAUGAGGGCCCGUGGAUGGUGCAGAGGGCUGGUGCUGAACUGCUACCUCGCUGAAAGGGCGGCAGUUUGCCCCUCUCCAGCGCUGGCGUGGAAGUCAGGACCGCCAAGGAGACCCAGCGCGGCGGUUCUGCUCUAGCUGCGGGGCUCGCCGUGCGUUUGGACACAGCUCGACGGCAAUGAGGUUCCUUCAAGACCUGCUUCGCCAUACCAUUGGAA